AAUCAACGCUGGCGGCGUGCCUCAGACAUGCAAGUCGAACGAUUAAAGCUCUCUUCGGAGAGUGUAUAGAGUGGCGCACGGGUGAGUAACACGUAAGUAAUCUACCUUCGAGUGGGGAAUAACGUCCGGAAACGGACGCUAAUACCGCAUAAUGCAGCGGCAUCGCAAGAUGACAGUUGUUAAAGAUUUAUCGCUUGAAGAGGAGCUUGCGGCAGAUUAGCUAGUUGGUAAGGUAAUGGCUUACCAAGGCUACGAUCUGUAACCGGUCUAAGAGGACGGUCGGUCACACUGACACUGAAUAACGGGUCAGACUCCUACGGAGGCAGCAGUCGGGAAUUUUGGGCAAUGGGCGAAAGCCUGACCCAGCAACGCCGCGUGAAGGAUGAAGUAUUUCGGUAUGUAAACUUCGAAAGAAUGGGAAGAAUCAAUGACGGUACCAUUUAUAAGGUCCGGCUAACUACGUGCCAGCCGCCGCCG
rnacentral:rRNA from 1 species